AGAGUUUGAUCAUGGCUCAGAGCGAACGCUGGCGGCAGGCCUAACACAUGCAAGUCGAACGGACCCUUCGGGGUUAGUGGCGGACGGGUGAGUAACACGUGGGAACGUGCCUUUAGGUUCGGAAUAGCUCCUGGAAACGGGUGGUAAUGCCGAAUGUGCCCUUCGGGGGAAAGAUUUAUCGCCUUUAGAGCGGCCCGCGUCUGAUUAGCUUGUUGGUGAGGUAAUGGCUCACCAAGGCUACGAUCAGUAGCUGGUCUGGGAGGAUGACCAGCCACAUUGGGACUGAGACACGGCCCAAACUCCUACGGGAGGCAGCAGUGGGGAAUCUUGCGCAAUGGGCGAAAGCCUGACGCAGCCAUGCCGCGUGGAUGAUGAAGGUCUUAGGAUUGUAAAAUCCUUUCACCGGUGAAGAUAAUGACUGUAGCCGGAGAAGAAGCCCCGGCUAACUUCGUGCCAGCAGCCGCGGUAAUACGAAGGGGGCUAGCGUUGCUCGGAAUUACUGGGCGUAAAGGGAGCGUAGGCGGACAUUUAAGUCAGGGGUGAAAUCCCAGAGCUCAACUCUGGAACUGCCUUUGAUACUGGGUGUCUUGAGUGUGAUAGAGGUAUGUGGAACUCCGAGUGUAGAGGUGAAAUUCGUAGAUAUUCGGAAGAACACCAGUGGCGAAGGCGACAUACUGGAUCAUUACUGACGCUGAGGCUCGAAAGCGUGGGGAGCAAACAGGAUUAGAUACCCCGGUAGUCC
rnacentral:rRNA from 1 species